rnacentral:rRNA from 1 species
CCGGCACGGGUGAGUAACACGUAUCCAACCUGCCGAUAACUCGGGGAUAGCCUUCUGAAAGGAAGAUUAAUACAAGAUGGCAUCAUGAGUCCGCAUGUUCACAUGAUUAAAGGUAUUCCGGUAGACGAUGGGGAUGCGUUCCAUUAGAUAGUAGGCGGGGUAACGGCCCACCUAGUCUUCGAUGGAUAGGGGUUCUGAGAGGAAGGUCCCCCACAUUGGAACUGAGACACGGUCCAA